UACAAAGAUAAAAACGCAACGCAGGAGAAUUUCUCCUGCAGAGCCGGUAGGUAGCCCGGCCGCAUCGUAAGGUGUAAGUAACCCUCCCUCCUUAGGGUCGUCCGUUCUUUGUGUAU
rnacentral:ncRNA from 1 species